CUUAUUUCAUGAGGUCGUGGCAAGAUGGUGAAGUAGCAGCAGUGCAUAGGGUGUGAGGAUGGUCCGUGCCAGGGUGGUGCUGCCGGGCCGCAGCUGUGGACGUGGUGGUGGUGUGUGUCGUGUUGGAAGGUGUGUUUGUUCAGACACACUAGUCCUGGGGGCUGCUGGGCACAUCACUGGCGACAUGCCCAAUGGGGUGAGGCAGUGGUCUCGGGUGUCCACAGUCGAGCGCCCCAGACGGCAGGGUUUGCCUGGCGUCCACACAAGCAGGUGUGUGACCAGGGAGGGGCCCAUGCACGGUGCCUCCUCCUCAUGCACUCGCCAGUGCCGCAUGUCCCCAACUGUGUGCUUCCUGCCGCGGCAGCGGCCUCACGCUUGCUUGCUUCCUCCUCUCCAGGUCAAACGAUCAAGGAGCAAAGGCGGGCUGGCCGGCCCCGACGGCACCAAGUCUGUCUUUGGGCAGAUGUGUGCUAAGAUGAGCUCGUUUGGUCCUGACAGCCUCCUCCUUCCUCACCGUGUCUGGAAAGUCAAGUUUGUGGGUGAAUCUGUGGAUGACUGUGGGGGCGGCUACAGCGAGUCCAUAGCUGAGAUCUGUGAGGAGCUGCAGAACGGACUCACGCCCCUGCUGAUCGUGACACCCAACGGGAGGGAUGAGUCUGGGGCCAACCGAGACUGCUACCUGCUCAGCCCGGCCGCCAGAGCACCCGUGCACAGCAGCAUGUUCCGCUUCCUGGGUGUGUUGCUGGGCAUUGCCAUCCGAACCGGGAGUCCCCUGAGCCUCAACCUUGCCGAGCCUGUCUGGAAGCAGCUGGCUGGGAUGAGCCUCACCAUCGCGGACCUCAGUGAGGUUGAUAAGGAUUUUAUUCCUGGACUCAUGUACAUCCGAGACAAUGAAGCCACCUCAGAGGAGUUUGAAGCCAUGAGCCUGCCCUUCACAGUGCCAAGUGCCAGUGGCCAGGACAUUCAGUUGAGCUCCAAGCACACGCACAUCACCCUGGACAACCGCGCGGAGUACGUGCGGCUGGCGAUAAACUAUAGACUCCAUGAAUUUGAUGAGCAGGUGGCUGCUGUUCGGGAAGGAAUGGCCCGCGUUGUGCCUGUCCCCCUCCUCUCUCUGUUCACCGGCUACGAACUGGAGACGAUGGUAUGUGGCAGCCCUGACAUCCCGCUGCACCUUCUCAAGUCGGUGGCCACCUAUAAAGGCAUCGAGCCUUCCGCAUCGCUGAUCCAGUGGUUCUGGGAGGUGAUGGAGUCCUUCUCCAACACAGAGCGCUCUCUUUUCCUUCGCUUCGUCUGGGGCCGGACGAGGCUACCCAGGACCAUCGCCGACUUCCGGGGCCGAGACUUCGUCAUCCAGGUGUUGGAUAAAUACAACCCUCCAGACCACUUCCUCCCUGAGUCCUACACCUGUUUCUUCUUGCUGAAGCUGCCCAGGUAUUCCUGCAAGCAGGUGCUGGAGGAGAAGCUCAAGUACGCCAUCCACUUCUGCAAGUCCAUAGACACAGAUGACUACGCUCGCAUCGCACUUACAGGAGAGCCAGCCGCCGACGACAGCAGCGACGAUUCAGAUAACGAGGAUGUCGACUCCUUUGCUUCGGACUCUACACAAGAUUAUUUAACAGGACACUAAGAUGGGGAAACGUCCUCGUGAGACGAGAGCCUGAGCCAGGCAGCAGAGCGCUCGCUGCUGUGGAGACUGUAGGCCGCCUGGUGUGUCUGAUGAGAAGCGUCCGUCCUCGAGCCAGGCGGGAGGAGGGAGUGGAGAGACUGACUGGCCGUGAUGGGAACGACAGUGAGAAGGUCCGCCUGUGCGCGUGGAACACUGUGGACGCUCGACUUCCAAGGGUCUUCUCACCCGUAAUGCUGCAUUACAUGUAGGCCUGUGUUUACUAAAGUGUGUAAAUGUUUAUAUAAAUACCAAAUUGCAGCGUCCCCAAAAUGAAUAAAGCCUUCUUACUUGUGGGUGCAAUCGAUUUUUUUUCUUCCCCUUCCUUUCAAGUGUCGUGAGUCGUCUUGAUUGUAUAUUGGAAAUAACUGUGUAACAAAUCGUAUUAUAAAUAUUUCAAUGAAUUUUACUCUGAAUUUGUUUAUUAAAAGACUUUUGAACAUGAAA
rnacentral:sRNA from 1 species